rnacentral:rRNA from 1 species
UACAGAGGUCUCAAGCGUUGUUCGGAUUCAUUGGGCGUAAAGGGUGUGUAGGUGGCGCCGUAAGUCGGGUGUGAAAUUUCGGAGCUUAACUCCGAAACUGCAUUCGAUACUGCGUGCUUGAGGACUGGAGAGGAGACUGGAAUUCAUGGUGUAGCAGUGAAAUGCGUAGAGAUCAUGAGGAAGACCAGUGGCGAAGGCGGGUCUCUGGACAGUUCCUGACACUGAGACACGAAGGCCAGGGGAGCAAACGGG